rnacentral:rRNA from 1 species
ACAGGGGAGCUUGCUCCCGCUGACGACCGGCGCACGGGUGCGGAACGCGUAUGGAACCUACCUCAAUCAGGGGGAUAGCCCAGGGAAACUUGGAUUAAUACCCCAUAGUAUUAUUUGAUUGCAUGAUUGAAUAAUUAAAGGUUACGGAUUGAGAUGGCCAUGCGUAUCAUUAGCUAGUUGGUAAGGUAACGGCUUACCAAGGCAACGAUGAUUAGGGGCCCUGAGAGGGGGAUCCCCCACACUGGUACUGAGACACGGACCAGACUCCUACGGGAGGCAGCAGUGAGGAAUAUUGGACAAUGGUCGCAAGACUGAUCCAGCCAUGCCGCGUGCAGGAUGACUGCCCUAUGGGUUGUAAACUGCUUUUGUACGAGAAGAACACCCUCUUCGUGAAGAGGACUGACGGUAUCGUACGAAUAAGGACCGGCUAACUCCGUGCCAGCAGCCGCGGUAAUACGGAGGGUCCGAGCGUUAUCCGGAAUCAUUGGGUUUAAAGGGUCCGUAGGCGGGCUAUUAAGUCAGAGGUGAAAUUGUGCAGCUCAACUGUAGAACUGCCUUUGAUACUGAUAGUCUUGAGUUAUGGUGAGGUAGCCGGAACAUGUGGUGUAGCGGUGAAAUGCAUAGAUAUCACAUAGAACGCCGAUUGCGAAGGCAGGUUACCAACCAUAUACUGACGCUGAUGGACGAAAGCGUGGGGAGCGAACGGGAUUAGAUACCCCGGUAGUCCACGCCGUAAACGAUGGAUACUAGCUGUUGGGUUUUCGGACUCAGCGGCCAAGCGAAAGUGAUAAGUAUCCCACCUGGGGGAGUACGUUCGCAAGAAUGAAACUCAAAGGAAUUGACGGGGGCCCGCACAAGCGGUGGAGCAUGUGGUUUAAUUCGAUGAUACGCGAGGAACCUUACCAGGGCUUAAAUUGGG